rnacentral:rRNA from 1 species
UACGAAGGGGGCUAGCGUUGUUCGGAAUUACUGGGCGUAAAGCGCGCGCAGGCGGUCUUCCAAGUCAGUGGUGAAAGUCUGGAGCUCAACUCCAGAACUGCCAUUGAAACUGUUAGACUUGAGUACGAGAGAGGUGAGUGGAAUUCCCAGUGUAGAGGUGAAAUUCGUAGAUAUUGGGAAGAACACCAGUGGCGAAGGCGGCUCACUGGCUCGUAACUGACGCUCAGGCGCGACAGCGUGGGGAUCAAACAGG